rnacentral:lncRNA from 1 species
UUGAAAAUGGGGCACCGGGAACUGGUCAAUAAACAGAACGAGUAAAUAUAGUAUUUCGAACCAUCCCUCAAUAUGUAACAGUUCCAAACAAACGUUUAAACUAACAUAAUAAUAAUAUUGAGAAGUUUUUCCAUUCUGGGUUGUAGUCUUGAUGCUUAAGCAGGUGAUUUGGUAUAGAAGCGGACUCCGAAGGCCAAUCCCAAGAUCAGCAGGGGAACGAGGAAUUGGAGAAGCUUUAUAACAAAGUCCGAGGUCUUGUCCUGCUCAUAGUGAGGCUGCUUGGGAGGGGUGUACUUGGUCUUAGUUGGGAUAGUUGAUGUAUCGACGUCACC